rfam:Tetragenococcus muriaticus 3MR10-3 WGS_Sequence300_235, whole genome shotgun sequence.
CGUGCUGUGAGGCACGGGAGAGAGGAAGCAAUAGCGAAAUCGUGGCCCAACGAACAGGAAUAAGGUAGGAAGGCGCUACGAGCGGAUAAGUCGGCUAAAGGCGAUAAAGUCCAAAAGGUAACCGUAAUCUUGUGGCGUAAACCUUAUGGGUAAACGAGGAAAGAGAUAAC